ACAGCUUUGGACAAAAGUCUACAGCCAGUGCAUUUGAAAGUCCCCCUGCACCGGGGCUGACUGUAGCUGGGGAAAGACAUUUCACUCAUUCGCUCUUCCCUUUCAUGCACCAGCUGGUCCCUCUCCUCAGGUGUAGACCACCUAUUAUAAUUUCACCCAAUUUUGAUACUCUGAUGAGGAAAGUCCCAGGACUUCCCAGCUGGGAUAGGCCUCACAAGACAGCUGU
rfam:Otolemur garnettii contig159363, whole genome shotgun sequence.